AUUCUACUCCCUCCGUUACACAAUACAUGCCUUCUAUUUGUCAAAAUAUAUAUGUAUCUAGACAUGUUUUAGUAUAUAGGCAGAUCCAUUUUUGGACAAAUGGAAGUCAAGUAUUUUGGAACGGAGGGAGUACACA
rfam:Triticum aestivum genome assembly, contig: Triticum_aestivum_CS42_TGACv1_scaffold_049692_1BS